GUAGUCGUCAAGCUGUGGUUUAAGCU
rnacentral:piRNA from 1 species